rnacentral:rRNA from 3 species
UAGGGAAUCUUCGGCAAUGGACGAAAGUCUGACCGAGCAACGCCGCGUGAGUGAAGAAGGUUUUCGGAUCGUAAAACUCUGUUGUUAGAGAAGAACAAGGACGUUAGUAACUGAACGUCCCCUGACGGUAUCUAACCAGAAAGCCACGGCUAACUACGUGCCAGCAGCCGCGGUAAUACGUAGGUGGCAAGCGUUGUCCGGAUUUAUUGGGCGUAAAGCGCGCGCAGGCGGUUUCUUAAGUCUGAUGUGAAAGCCCCCGGCUCAACCGGGGAGGGUCAUUGGAAACUGGGAGACUUGAGUGCAGAAGAGGAGAGUGGAAUUCCAUGUGUAGCGGUGAAAUGCGUAGAUAUAUGGAGGAACACCAGUGGCGAAGGCGGCUCUCUGGUCUGUAACUGACGCUGAGGCUCGAAAGCGUGGGGAGCAAACAGG